rnacentral:tRNA from 13 species
UGGAUGCGCCGUGUGUCGAUCCCGGUACCUCUCGCAUGCUAAGCGAGUGCUCUACCAUCUGAGCUACGCCCUC